rnacentral:rRNA from 1 species
GACAGGUGCUGCAUGGCUGUCGUCAGCUCGUGUUGUGAAAUGUUGGGUUAAGUCUCGCAACGAGCGCAACCCCUAUCUUUAGUUGCCAGCAUUAAGUUGGGCACUCUAGAGAGACUGCCCGGGUUAACCGGGAGGAAGGUGGGGAUGACGUCAAGUCCUCAUGGCCCUUAUGCCUUGGGCUACACACGUAAUACAAUGGUGCACACAAAGGGAAGCGAUCACGCGAGUGUUAGCAAAUCUCAAAAAGUGCAUCUCAGUCCGGAUUGGAGUCUGCAACUCGACUCCAUGAAGUUGGAAUCGCUAGUA